CCGACUCUGUUGCCUCCGGGGCGACCCUGCCUCCGGGCGGGGGCCCCGGGUGGACAUUUCGAACUCUUGCCUAACUUUGCAGUCUGAGUAAAUUUAAUUAAUAAAUUAAAACUUUCAACAACGGAUCUCUUGGUUCUGGCAUCGAUGAAGAACGCAGCGAAGUGCGAUAAGUAAUGUGAAUUGCAGAAUUCAGUGAAUCAUCGAAUCUUUGAACGCACAUUGCGCCCCCUGGUAUUCCGGGGGGCAUGCCUGUUCGAGCGUCAUUUCACCACUCAAGCCUCGCUUGGUAUUGGGCGACGCGGUCCGCCGCGCGCCUCAAAUCGACCGGCUGGGUCUUUCGUCCCCUCAGCGUUGUGGAAACUAUUCGCUAAAGGGUGCCGCGGGAGGCCACGCCGUAAAACAACCCCAUUUCUAAGGUUGACCUCGGAUCAGGUAGGGAUACCCGCUGAACUUAAGCAUAUCAAUAA
rnacentral:misc_RNA from 1 species